GUGUGAUCAUCAGGUGGCUGGGGCGAUGUUGGGAACUCUAUGUAGGUUGGAGUAGGAGAUGGCUGGUUGCCGCCCUUGGUCUUUGCGGCUGAGGAAUGAGCAGAGACAGCUGAGAGUGGAGCGUGUGCCAACGGGAACGAUGAGGUAUUGUUCAAUCUAUUCAUUGUUACUAUAGAUGUCCCUGAUCUCCUGAGGGGUUUUAUACUGGUGCUGUUCAUCAUGUUCUAAUUUGGUUUCAAAAGAGAGAGUCU
rnacentral:misc_RNA from 1 species